rnacentral:rRNA from 2 species
UGACCUCAAAUCAGGUAGGAACACCCGCUGAACUUAAGCAUAUCAA